UUUUAUUUGAGAGUUUGAUCCUGGCUCAGGAUGAACGCUGGCGGCGUGCCUAACACAUGCAAGUUGAGCGAUUUACUUCGGUAAAGAGCGGCGGACGGGUGAGUAACGCGUGGGUAACCUACCCUGUACACACGGAUAACAUACCGAAAGGUAUGCUAAUACGGGAUAAUAUAUUUGAGAGGCAUCUCUUGAAUAUCAAAGGUGAGCCAGUACAGGAUGGACCCGCGUCUGAUUAGCUAGUUGGUAAGGUAACGGCUUACCAAGGCGACGAUCAGUAGCCGACCUGAGAGGGUGAUCGGCCACAUUGGAACUGAGACACGGUCCAAACUCCUACGGGAGGCAG
rnacentral:rRNA from 1 species